UACGUAGGGGCAAGCGUUGUCCGGAUUUAUUGGGCGUUAAAGAGCGGUGUAGGCGGUCAGGUAGGUCGGUUGUGAAAACUGGAGGCUCAACCUUCAGAGGUCGACCGAAACCCCCUGGCUAGAGUCCGGGAGAGGAGAGUGGAAUUCCGUGGUGUAGCGGUGAAAUGCGCAGAUAUCAGGAAGAACACCCGUGGCGAAAGCGGCUCUCUGGGACGUGACUGACGCUGAGACGCGAAAGCGUGGGGAGCGAACAGG
rnacentral:rRNA from 1 species